rnacentral:rRNA from 1 species
UACGUAGGGUGCAAGCGUUGUCCGGAAUUAUUGGGCGUAAAGCGCACGUAGGCGGCUUUGUAAGUCGGAUGUGAAAUCCCUCGGCUUAACCAAGGAAGUGCAUCCGAAACUACAGAGCUUGAGUACUUAAGAGGAUCGCGGAAUUCCCGGUGUAGAGGUGAAAUUCGUAGAUAUCGGGAGGAACACCAGUGGCGAAGGCGGCGAUCUGGGAAGAUACUGACGCUGAGGUGCGAAAGCGUGGGGAGCAAACAGG